GACGAACGCUGGCGGCGUGCCUAAUACAUGCAAGUCGAACGCAGUGGGGACGGGUGAGUAACACGUGGGUAACCUCCCAUCAGAGGGGAUAACACUUGGAAACAGGUGCUAAACCGAUACUGAUGGAUGGACCCGCGGUGCAUUAGCUAGUUGGUGAGGUAACGGCUCACCAAGGCCACGAUGCAUAGGCCACCCGGGAGGGGGAUCGGCCAACCUGGGACCGAGGAACGGCCCAGACCCCCAAGGGAGGCAGCAGGAGGGAAUCUUCGGGAAUGGGAGAAAGGCUUACCCAGCCACGCCGCGGUGGUUAAGAAGGUUUUCCGAUCGUAAAACUCUGUUGUUAGAGAAGCGGUAUCUAACCAGAAAGCCACGGCUAACUACGUGCCAGCAGCCGCGGUAAUAC
rnacentral:rRNA from 1 species